AUUUAUUCUUUUAAAAUUUUUUAAUAUAUUUAUUUUUUUUUAUUUAGAUUUAAAAUUUUUUUAAAAACUGAAAAGGAUUUAAAGGUAAAAUAUAAAAAGAAGAAUGAACGAACCUUUGGCAUUAGGGAUUUUCAAAAAGAAAAAAAAAUUUUUUUUUCCCGAAAUAAUUUGAGCUAAAGUUAAAAUUUAAUUUAUAUUUCAAUAUAAAUAAAAUUUAACUUUAGAUGUGAAAUUCUUUUCAAAAAUUAUGAUAUCUGGUUUAUAAAAAUAAACUUUAAGUAUUUCUAUAAAUAAAAUUAAUAUAUAAUAUUAUAGGAAAUUAAUUUUGGGAUAAGCUAAAAUUAAAAAUUUUAUUUAUAACCUAAAAGUAAGUAGAAGGAUUAAAAUUUUCUUUUUUAUUUUAAUAAAUAUACUUUAAUUAUAAAAGAAGUAUUUUUAAAAUUUAUUAAAUUUAAUAAAAUUUUUAAAUAAAAAUGAAAAUAUUAGUAAAAGUUUAAUUAAAAAUUUUUUAUUAAAUUUAAUUUUUAAAAAUAAAUAUUUUUUAAGAACUCGGCAAAAAUUUUUUCUAACUGUUUAUUAAAAACAAUUCAUUUAGAUUAGUUAUUAAAUGUAAUUUCUGCUCAAUGAAUUUUUAAUUGCUGUAGUAUUUUGACUAUACAAAGGUAUUGUAAUAAGAUUUUAAUUGAAUGCUAAAAGAAUGGAAGUUUAGAAAAAGUCUUUUUAAAAAAUAAAAAUUAAAAUUUUUUUAAUUUGUGCAGAAACAAUUAUCUAUAUUAAAGACAAGAAGACCCUAAGAAUUUUCUGGUUCAAUAAUUUAUAUAUUUAAUUUAUUAAACCUUGGUUGGGGCGAUCAAAAAAUAUUAAUAACUUUUUUUCAUUAAAAUGAUCUAUUAUUAAUAAAUUAAUGAAUUAAAUACUCUAGGGAUAACAGCGUAAUAAUUUUUGAUAGAUCUUAUAGACAAAAUAGUUUGCGACCUCGAUGUUGGAUUAGGAUUCUUUUUUGGUGAAGAAACCAAAAAAAGAAGUUUGUUCAACUUUUAAACUCCUACAUGAUCUGAGUUUAGACCGAUGAGAAUCAGGUUGGAUUCUAUCUUAAUAAAAAAAAUUUUUUAGUUAGUACGAAAGGAAUUCUAAAAAUUAAUUAUUAAGAUAAUCAACUUUAUUUGCAUCAAUUUUUGGAAU
rnacentral:rRNA from 1 species